UCCGUGUUCUUACGUCCAAAAACUUCCAACGAAGCACUCCGAGCUUCCUUGGGACCUCACUAAGCUCUCUGUGAUCUUGUUUUAGCCUAAAACGUAGUCAUUUAGAAGAUCAUGAACAGUACCAUUUCACGGGAACUUUGAAACUAGGGUUUUCCGAAGCAAAACUUACCUGAAAUGGAUACCAUCGUGAUCGUGGAGGUUCCAGGAGUUUGAUGGUGGUCUUAACUCCGUCGUUGGUAGAAGUUUAGGGUGGUUUUGGAGUUUGUCCGUGCACUUGAGAGGGAGAGAACAGAGAGUGAGAGUUCGUGAGGGAGGAGAGAGAGACAGUGUACGGGAAAGAAGGAAGGAUUUGAGGUGUGUGGGAUCCUACCCAAUCCCCAACUACAAAAUUCUAUCAUAAAAUUUAAGUCUAAAUCUCCACUCUAAUUACCAAAGUUUAGGAGCUUAGAUAUAACGAACGUGAAAAUUAUACCUUAGUCACGUACUAGGGACAUUUCCGUUAAUUCACCAUCACGAGUGUAAAACUUUGGGACGGGCUGA
rnacentral:lncRNA from 1 species